AUAUGAUAUCGGCCACAUAUCUGGAUGCAACUGUGAACGCUGUGGAUGUAAGUCUCUUUGUUGUUAUUGUUAUCAAGACAAGCACUUUAACUUUAAAAAAAAUACUCUUUAAUUUCAUCUUAAUCUCAAACAUUAAAUUUUGAAACCAAAAUUUUCACCAGUGGAUAAAAAACAUUGAAAUUCAAAUGAUAAAGUAAAAACUUAAAGUCAAUGAAAUAUUUAUGACUCUUGUUCUUUCUCUUUCAGAAUUGACAUGCACAGCUCCGCCA